GCCGGGCGUGGUGGCUCACGCCUGUAAUCCCAGUACUUCGGGAGGCCGAGGCGGGUGGAUCACCUGAGGUUGGGAGUUCAAGACCAGCCUGACCAACAUGGAGAAACCCCGUCUCUA
rnacentral:SRP_RNA from 1 species